GGACGAGUUGCAGAGGCCCCUGAAGGAAAAGGAGAAGGAAGGGCAUUUGCAGAGGGAAAGGCUGUCCCGCUGGCCUUAGGUGUUGCUGAACGGGAGGGGUGGCCAAUGCUUUCUCUUUCCGCUGACUCACGGAGGGUGGCAAAUGCCUUCUGGGGGUGGUUCCAGCAGUGGGAAGAAAACAACUGGCAGCGGAGGGGUGAACCUCUUUGGGCUGCUGAGCUGUGUGCUGAACCAUAAGGAAGGUGGCUGUAAUGGUGUGCCGUGCAGAUGUCGUGUGCCCAGCAGUCGGGCCGAUGAAGAGCAACAAAUGAAGCGCCAGAUGGCUUCUCGCCUCCUGCCUCUUUCCUUGCCAUGGCCUUGAGGCUUUUCCUCAGCUGGCUGGCUGAUCCGUCCCCGGCGGCUGCCCUUUCCUCCUGCCAGGCACACAUGUCUCUCUCGUCGUGUAGAUCUGAGGAUGACCAAAGCCUGUCGCCCCAAGCAUUGCUGAACCCAUCAAAAUGGUUGCUCAGAGGCCUGCUGGUGCUGGAAGUGGACGGUAUCCCAGCAUGACUGAAGGAGCAGCUGCUGAUGGGAGGCAGGAAGUCCAGGCUCAUGAACACUGAGGCAUCUGCCAGUACGGUACCAGAGGAGGCAGUAGUGACGUUGGGGGGCAGUUGCAGAAGAAGAUGAGGAGCUCCCCAGCAGGAAGCCACAAACCCGGCAGAAACCUGCAGGAGAAUCGCAGCAUGUGUGGGUGCCCAGGAGGAAAUGCAGCCCCAGCGUCUGAGCAGCGCCUGGCCAUGGAGUGCUGCGACCCAAGAACAGAGCUAUUCUGCCCUUGCCGAGAUGGCCUCACUGACCCCAUUGACUUCUUUGACUCAGUGACCCCAGUGACCUCACAUGAACUCCAUAACUCCACUGACCCCAAUGAUCCCACAUGGCCCCAUUGACCCCAAUGACCCCGCAUGCCCCCACUGACCCCACCGAUCCCAAAGAUCCUAAUGAUACCCAUGACCCCAUAUGACCCCAACAGCCCAUUGACCCCACUGACCCCAUUAAUCCCAAUGACCCCACUGACUCCAAUAACCCCCACUGACCCCAUUAAAUCUAUUGACUUCAAUGACCCCACUGACGCCAAAAACCCCAUUGACUCCAAUAACACCCAAUGACCCCAUUAACUCUACUGACUUCAAUGACUACAUUGACGCCAAUGACCGCAUUAACCCCAAUGACUCCCACUGAACCCAAUGACCCCUAUUGCCCCAUUGACCCUAAUGACCCCACUGUCUCCAAUGAACCCAAUCUGGAGGGAGUCUGGGGGAAACGUCUCCUGCUUCCAAUCAUGCAGCGCCCGAGCGAGAGGGUGACCCAGCCUGGCUACACCAGAAUCGUGUUAAUUUCUCUGUUCUGUUGCUUCACAGAACCCCCUUGGCUGAGCCUCCUGCUGGUUUCUUAACAUUUGGUCCCAGUCUUGGGGACUGAAGCCACAGCCUGAAAGGCUGCAACCAGUCCAGGGACGUAAAGCCACAGCCCCAGCUAGAGAGGCCAGAGCCAGCCAAGGGCCUAAGUCCACAGACACAGCCGGGGAGCCCAGCACUGGCCCUGGCACUUAAAGCCACAGCCGGAGAGGCUGACAUCAGCCCUGGCACUCAAAGCCCCAACCAGAGAUGCUGGCACAGGCCCUGGGAUUCGUUUCCUAAGGGUUCCCCUGAGAAUCCAUUGACCAAUUUGAAGCCAUACUGGACUUGACUGGUUUUUAUUGGGCAGCACAAGAGUCAUCUUCACUUCUCCAUUACUUCAGAUAACCCCAUUGGGUGACCCUGGUGUUGGUUUCCUAAGACGUGGGUCUGGGAUGCGUCCAUUCCAGGAUGGAAGCACUCGCUGAGGUCACAAUCAGUGCUGGAGUGGGAGCGUUUGUGCCACAGCCGGAGAGCAGAGCUGGUGCUCUGGUGUGUGUGCUGCAUACAGAGACUGAGCUCUGAGUGUUCCUUGGAAGGGAUCACCCUGGGAGAGCCCGUCAGGAGCACCGCGUGUGCACUCGUCGGUACUCUCUGCAGGGUUCCUGUCCCAAGGGAGAUUUGUGGAUCAGGGUGGUCUUAGGAAGAGGGAAGUUCCUGUGGAGAGAGGCCUGGGAACUUCAGCUUCCUCUGAGCCUUCAGCGGCCAUGUCUCAACAAGGAGACGACCGUGGUUCCAAUUCAUGCCGUGUCAGUGGCAAGAAGCGGCGCAGCGCGGUUCCCCGCGGUUGGGAGCAGCAGCCAGCAGGCUGCCAGAGAUCCAUCCACACCUUGCAGCGCACAGAGGGACGCGACAGGGACGGACCUUCCUUCCUGCCAUGCAAAAGGACGGAGCCUGAGUGUCCAUGGAGUGGUGCUGGGUAUGGGGGGAAACGGAAAGCCUGCGCAGAAGCUGACACGAGCGGCCUUCCAGCAAAGCGCAGCCUUGCAGAAAGGCAAGGCAGAAGCGCCCAGUGUGGCACAGCACCAAAGAGAGAGAUUGGUGCUGAGGCAAAUGGCAGUAUCUACGUGAAAGUGAUGCAGCAGAUCCGCACUGAGAGAUCUUGUCAACAAGCAGCAGCUCAAGCUCCUCACCAGGCUGGAGGACUUCCUAGAAGAGCAGGUCCCAGCACAGGGGGAAGACCUUCCCCUGCCGCGUGCCCCCGCUCUGUCUCCAACACCCUGGCUGGAUGCAAACGCAAGGGCUUGGAGGAAGAAGAGAAACCAACAGCAGCACAGCAGCCUGCCAAUAAGAGAGUGAGGGGGCAGAGAGGAGACAGCGUGCCGGCUCCAGCAGCACACCCUGGGCCUGCUGCAGCGCGGAGCUCCAAGCAAAGAGCAAGAAGACGGCGACAAAAAGAGAGGAGGGUGGAGCUGAAGAAGGCUGCCCUCAGAGCUGCUGCUGCACAUGCAGAGGCCUCCGCAGUGAACAGCCUCGUGGAGAUGAUGCAGAAGCUGCAGCUGAAGGACUGAGAGGAGGAGCGUCAGCAGGCAGCGGCUGCAGUGCGCGGCGUUACAGGGCAGUGCUGAGUGCCGCCCAUCUCAGCCCUCCACCUUCACACGUAGUCAAUAAAAACCAGUCACAAUGAGUC
ensembl:lncRNA